rnacentral:lncRNA from 1 species
GUUAAUCUAAUUUUUGUAAGCGUACACGUGUUGUUCCUCAAAUAAUGGAAGACUUCGUUUGUUUGCAUGCAGGUCCUUCCGCUCCUUCACUCUAGAGCCCAUGAUGGGUUCUUGGCGUUGCAGUACGACGAACGCUACACUUCUUUACUAGAGAUAGCGGGCCUAGAUGUCAUCUCAUUUUAGGUUCGUCGUGGGUUGCCCAAGUUCAACUCAGCGGCCAUAACUGUGUUGGUU